rnacentral:rRNA from 1 species
AGAGUUUGAUCCUGGCUCAGGACGAACGCUGGCGGCGUGCCUAACACAUGCAAGUCGAACGGUCCAGCACUCAACCGACCCUCAGUCUAACUGUAGGUGAAGUUGAGUGCCGGAUAGUGGCGGACGGGUGAGUAACGCGUGGGCAACCUGCCCCGGACUGGGGAAUAACGCAGAGAAAUCUGCGCUAAUACCGCAAACACCAUAAUACCGCAUGGUAAGAUGGUCAAAGGAGAAAUCCGGUUUGGGAUGGGCCCGCGUCCGAUUAGCUAGUUGGUGAGAUAACAGCCCACCAAGGCAACGAUCGGUAGCCGGACUGAGAGGUUGGCCGGCCACAUUGGGACUGAGACACGGCCCAGACUCCUACGGGAGGCAGCAGUGGGGAGUAUUGCGCAAUGGAGGGAACUCUGACGCAGCGACGCCGCGUGAAGGAUGAAGGCCUUCGGGUUGUAAACUUCUGUCUUCAGGGACGAGAAAGGACGGUACCUGAGGAGGAAGCCACGGCUAACUACGUGCCAGCAGCCGCGGUAAU